CGUGUAGGCGGCCUUGUAAGUCAGAUGUGAAAUACCUUGGCUUAACCAAGGAAGGGCAUUUGAAACUGCUUGGCUUGAGUACGGGAGGGGGAAGCGGAAUUCCCGGUGUAGAGGUGAAAUUCGUAGAUAUCGGGAGGAACACCGGUGGCGAAGGCGGCUUCCUGGACCGAUACUGACGCUGAGACGCGAAAGCGUGGGGAGCAAACAGGAUUAGAUACCCUGGUAGUCCACGCCCUAAACGUUGGGCACUAGGUGUUGCGGGUAUUGACCCCUGCAGUGCCGAAGCUAACGCAUUAAGUGCCCCGCCUGGGGAGUACGGCCGCAAGGUUAAA
rnacentral:rRNA from 1 species